AAAUGCAAGUCCUGGAAAGAUAAAAGGGGACGCUCAGUCAGAGCCCACAUCGAGUUCCCGUGAAAGCACGCCACCCACCGUGCACCCUGGGAACGUGGGGAGGAGGCGUUGCAUCCCACAAGACGAGGCUCUCUUCGUGGUUCUCGCCGCAUUCUUCUCCGUGCGUGCCGAUGCGGUCACACCUCGGGGGGAUGGGUAGGCCGUUCCCUUCCCCCUUCUGUGCCACUUUUAAUCUCUCUCGUGGUGAAUGCUUUUGUGUAGCAAAGGUUCACCGAGGUUGAAACAGUUCCCUUUUCUGCUUGUUCAGCAGUGAGGAGAACGAAGUGUCCUUUCAGAGACAGUCACACGGACGCCACUGAAGGACACGGUGUCCACGGGCCGGAAAAGGUGAGGGCCCUGCAGGGUUCAAGUCCACAGCGCGCCAGGGUUUCCAUGCGUGUCGGGCCGUCCAGCCGACCGUAACGGAGCCAAAACGAGCCGUCUCAGACCAGGCCGCAAAAAAGGACAGCUUAUUCUUUACACAGCAAAGCAGGGCACAAGCACACCCAACUUAGACACUACCGCACCCAUGGAUUUUGAGAACCAUUAAAACAAAGUUUAACGAGGAAAAAAAAGAAAGUGGCACCAAAAAUCAAUGGGAAACGCAUGGCGUGGUCGGUGGCUUACCGGGGAAAUAAAGGUGGCGGCGUCCAAUCCGGUUUCCAGGGCGGAGAACGGGCAACGCACACGGUGGACGCACACACCCCAUUAGGAAAUGGUUGUGGUGAUUGCAGAAUAAAAUAAAAAUACUUUCUUCUCUCUA